rnacentral:tRNA from 10 species
CACAGUUGACUGUAAGAAAGGGAGAUUAUCCUUAGUGGGGCUGACCUAAUGCAGUGAGCCUUUUAGAGCCAAGAGUUUUCUCCAGAUGGUCACAGAAGAGGAAGGCAGAGUGAUACUGGCUGGCCCAGAAGAAAGCAAACAUCCACGUGAAGCACCUAGGGUCUAUAUGGUAAGGAACUACAAGCAACCUCCAGAAACUGAGCACCGUCCCCAGCCAACAGUUAGCAAGAAAAUAGGGAUCUAAAUUAUAUAACUUCAAGGAAAUAAAUCCUGCCAACAACCAGUGAUCCUGGAAGAGGACUCCAAGCUCCAGAUGAGAGCCACAGCCCUGGCCAAUUCCUUGAUGUCAGCCUGGUGAGACACUAAGCAGAAAAAUCCAGGUGGAACUCCCAUCUCCCAUCCCCCUGGGGCAGGGGAAAGGAAUUUGUGGCAGCUGAAUUCAUACCUCCUGGUGCUAAGGAGGCAGAAUACACAGUGGUUAGGAGCGCAUCUUUGGAAGAGGCUGCUUGGCAUUGAAUCCCGAAUCUACUGCUUUAUAGAUGAGUAUUCCUACAAAAGUGACUGAGUCUCUCCCUGCCUUGAUUUCCUUAUCUCUGGGGGAUAUAGUUCCAUUAAAAUUUGUGAGGGAGCUCAUUUUUAGUUGUCAAAUUUUCUUAUGAUGAUUAAACAUUUUGAGUAUUAUUUUUCAAAAUCUUAUAAAAUGUGAGUGUUUUGCCAUGAUCAGAUGCCAUGAGGACAAUGAAUCUGAGAGGCACGGGGAAGGCUGGCAGAGCAGCUUGGACAGAGGCGCUCUUGGGGUUGGGGAGGAGAAAUGAGGGCUGAGAUGGUGGUAGUGAAAAUGACAAGGGAAAGGGAACCAUGUAUAAGGAUAAGCGGAGAAGGCUAGCAGAGGGAGGGCUUGGCUGCAUGUGAAUAUCCUGAGGGCUUGAGGCUCCCUUUCGGGUGUGCCUGCUGCUGCCCUCUGCCCACUAUCCUUCCAAAGUCUGGGGGAUGCUGCGGUUUUCUUUCACUCUGCCUGUGGGGAAAAUAUUGGGCUGUAUUCAGCAUGCUAGGGAGAGCUGAAUUUUAUUGCCAGCUCACUGCACCACUGGUUUUAUCCCAGCUUCAAAAGUGUUCUUGAACAGCAAAUGCCAUUUGGAGGAGACUGUCUUUCUCAUCCUCCACCUUUGCUCUCCCUUUGCUCAUCUUUACUCCUUCAUUACUGUAUCUCUGGGUGUGUACCACAGGUAAGUACCAUGGCACAUGCUGUGGGGUACAUAUAUAGGAGACAACAUGAACUUCAUUCUGCAAGGGACACAGAAGGGCACCUCCAAUCAAUUCCUCAUUGCUUCUUUCCCUAGAAGACUUCAGAAAUCACAGCUUUGACAAGGGAAGGAGGGAAGGAGACCACUGGUUGUCGAAUCCCUACUGCUACGUGACAGCUCUCACACUGUGAUGAUGAUGUGAUUGGCAUAUAAAUCUUCUCUUUCACACUGGAACAGGGAAUAAAAGCAGAGCAUGCGCCAGGCCCUCAGGUCCUAGAGGUAUCUGGCUCCUAAGCAAGCCCGUUUCAAGGGAGGAAGCUGAGAAAGAGGAGCAUCAAUUAUAACCAAGGCCUAUAUUCAUGCCUCUUGCCCAACAAAAUGGUGAACAAGACUCCACCUACUUCAAGGAUUGGGAGAAUAGAGAGUGGAAUGGGAACAACUGGUCUAUCAAUGAGAAGAAAGUGCCAACUGAAAACUUUUAGAAAAUACCCAGUUUACUCAAGGAAAAUAACAUGCAUUGAAGGUGAUUGCUCAAUAGAGAGAAGUUGAAACAGCAGACUAAUUGCCUGUUUGUGACACCCAUGUAAUCAACUUGGCCUAUAGGUUGAGGUUGAUCUGAAAGAUAGGACUAUUUGUGAUCCAGAAUCAAAAGAGUCAAGAAAAGUCUGAGAAUUUCAUCCUUGGAGCAGAAAGUGAAAGUGUUCUGGAGCCAAAAGUAGUAACAAAGAUGGAGGGCAAGAGAUCAUUGGAUUAAAUCAUAUUGGCAGACCAAAUUUCAGAAGAAUCAACACACCAGAGACAAGAAGAACUUGAAGUUAAAGCAAAGUUCCCUUAUACUGGAGAAUUCUUCUGCAUUCUCUGCUCAAAUAUGAUGCCCCCCACCAUGAAGAAGAGAUUCACCUUGGAUAUAACCACAAUUUACCCCCCUCAACAGAUCCCAGGAGGCUGCUGCUUACCUACUAGGGAGCCCACCUGCCUCGCUUUCUGCUUCCCCAGUCCUAUCCAUCUUGCUCCAUAUGAACUUUCCCAGGCCCAAGCUGCAGAUAUGAGAAUGAUAGCUACUCAUCAAACCUUUUUCCUUGUCUUGUUGAGCACACAGCUGGACCCCAUUUCAAAGCCUCUGUUGAGGUUAGAUAUGGUCAUGUGCCUGAGUCCUAGCCAAUAGAAUGUAACUGGGAACUGUUGUGUGUCUCUUUGAAAUCUGGCUGAUGAAUACCCACCCCCAUGCUACCCUCCAUGUUGUUUCCCUUUGUACUGACUUGAUGCAAUUGAGCCCAGGAAGCUUCAAAGCUAUAUGCUGAGGAUGGAUUUGAUAUCACAGAGGAAGCCUGGGUCCCUACAUCACUGCUUUGAGAACUGCUGCCCACCUUUUGGACCACCCAUUUUGGACUUAACAUGAGCAAGAAAUAAACUUUUCUGUUUGAACCAUUAUAUAUGUUUGGAUUUGUAUGUUGCAGCAGCUACAAUUACCUUAACCAAUAUGGACCCCCUGAGAAAAGUUGUUGGACCAAUAUGCAUUUAAGCUCAGGUUUCAAUUUUUCACACAUGAAAAAUUAUAAAUACAUAUAACUUUGAGCUUCUUUAGGAAAGAACGAAUACCCUAACUGGCUUGGUAUUCUCCCAGUAAAUAGUUCUUGAAAGGGUAUUUCAUAUAGUAGAAAUUCAAUGACUGCCUGUUCAAAAUGUUUAAAUGUUCAAGUCUUAAGAAAAAAAUGUCAACUACGAGAAGAUUAAGGAUUCAUUUACAUAGUGAGAGCUAAAUGAAGUCUUACUGAAUAAAUAAAUGAAUGAGUGAAUAAAUGGUAUAUUUGAUGAAAAUAAGUCUCACCUUAAGAUUCACAGAGAAAUUUGCUUAUCUGUAAGAUAAGGAUUGUGAUACCUUGCGCUUUCUACCUCACACGAAAUGUGUUAGUAUCAAAUCAGAGAAUUUACUUUCAAGCAUUUACUUUCUAAAUUACCAAGUGCUAGACACAUGUGAGUUCUCCAGUAUAAUUUAGAUAGAUUACUUUAUGUUUUGUCAGUAUGUUGACAGUUUAUUGAUAAUGGAGUUGAAACUCAAGGAAGGAGAAUAAUCUGUGAAGCACUUCUGAACAUCUUGGAGAUUUUUUUAAAAGUUAUAUUGGUGACCUGAAGAUUUUAGACCUCUUAAAAUUCUGAAUUACUAUUAACUUGCAGAUAAAAUAAUGCCAUUAUUUACCACUGGACUCAAGAGAACAUCUUUGUGUAUUAUUGGUACCCUGAAAUUAUAACUAAUCAUAUCCCCUCUGUAUCUCCCUAAGAUGUAUCUGCCACUUCUUAGGUUCCUACUUAGUGAUUAGAGUCAGAAAAGCAUUAAUCAACACUGCUGUGCCAAAUACUAUGGAAAUUCAUUUAACCAUAUUACAUAAUUGAAAUGUCAGAAUGUUUAAACACUUUCUGUCAUAUGAAAAUAUAUUGGAAAUGUCUAGAACCAAGCUGGCAGAGAAAAACACAAGGAAUGUUCUUAUAAAACAAAUGAGAUCUAGCUGGGCAUGGUGGCAUGUGCCUGUAGUUCCAGCUGCUCAGGAGGCUGAGGUGGGAGGACUGCUUGAGCCCAGGAGUUUGAGGCCAGCCUGGACAACAUAAUGAGAUCUCCAUCACUAAAAAUAAAUUUUAAAAUAAUGGAUAAGAAAGAUUUAAUGAUCCAUGGAAUGGUUGUUUGUGGGCUUUUGGUCAGAAGCCUGAGAGUGGGGAUUAGACAAAAGUGGCUGUCCAAUGUGUCAGUGGUGAUGCCAAUCUCUUGCCAGCUGAAAUUGAGAAGUAUAUGCAGCAGGCUUCAAUGACUGCCCUCACUGCUGAAAAGAAUAUAUCUUGUAUUGCCUGGGCAGGUGACCUUCACCAGGGGUUAAGAGAAUUCCUGUGAGUUCAUUGUGAGACUACCUCUCUUUCAUUUCCCAGUCCUUCAUCAGAAAAUUCAAGAGGCUCCUAUCACAUCCUAGAAUAAAGAUUUCCUUUAUGCAGGCUCCAUCCUCCAUCAGUAGGAGUCAAGUGGUAGCCCCAAAUUCUGCAUAUUUCUCUCACUCCUUUCAAACUGUCCAAUACUUACUAGCACUUUCUUCUUUGGAACAUCAUGUCCUAUAUUUCUGUCAUUUCAGUCACAAGAAGUGUAGGGCCCUAGAUCGUCCCCUAUCCCUUGGCCUUUAAUCUCCUUAUGGCUCCAAAAAUUGCCUUUUCUGCCACCAUCUCCCUUCUGCCCCAUCUCCUGAAAGAACUGGAACUUUCUGUCAAGCAUCUAUCAAUUAUCAACCAAAUUCCCUACAUCCCCUCACAUUUCCUUAUUUUAUUUGCUGGAACUAAAACUCACCUCUCCUCAAAGGACCCUGCUUGCCUUGCAGCCUCCUCAAGGGGUGGCUGUUUUCUCUCCCAGACCCCUCAAAGCACUGAGUCUGGAUGUGGGGUAGUGUCCUCCUCCCUCCUCAUUGCUUCUUCCAGAUCAUUAUUCCUCAUUUCUCCCUAAGACUACACAGUUUGAAUGACUUCAAUAUUGCCAAACCUCAAAGUGUAUUUGAGUCUUCAUUUUACUUGAUAGAUCAGCAGCAUUUUACACAGUUGAUCACUCUCUUUCUGCUGAGACAGUUUCUUCACUUGACUUCCAGGACACCACACUCUCCGGCUUGCUUCCUGCUUCACUAGUUGCUCCUUCUCUGUUCCUUUGCUACUUCCUUCUCAUCCCACUUAUCUCUAAGUGAGAGCCCCUGCACUUAAUCUUUGAACCUUGCCUCUUCUCUGGAUACACUUGCUGCCUUAACAAUCUCAUUUAAUCUCAUGAUUUUCUAUGCUUUCUAUAUGUUGAUGACUCUACAAGUUAUAGCUUUAUUCCAGAACUUUCUCCUGAACUUGAGAUGUAUGUAUCCAAGGGCUCACCUGACAUCUUCAUCUGGAUAUUAAUAGGUAUUUCAAAAUUAACACAUGAAAAACUGAGCUCCUGAUUUUUUCUUCAGAUCUUCUUCUCUUGAAGCCCCUCCAACCCACACCAAUCUCAGCAAAUGACAAUCCCAAUCUUUCAGUCAUUCAGGCCAAAAACUUUGAAGGCAUCCUUGACUCCUUUCUUUCUCUCACACUGCACAUCAAAUUUAUCAGAAAACCCUAAUGGAUCCUCUUUCAAAAUAUAUGUAUGGUAUCUGACCAGUUCUUACUGGCUUUACAACUACAACCCUGGCAACUGUUAUCUGUUACUUGGAUUGCUGCAAUAACUUCCUAACUGAUCCUUCUACUUCUGUCCUUGCCUCCUUCAUUUCUAUUCUAAAAAAAAGCAGCCAAAGUAAUUCUGUUAAACAUAAGCAGAAUAUAUCACUCGUUUGAUUAUAACCCUACAAUGGCUUCCUAGCUCACACUGUGUAAAAGUUAAAGUCCUACAAUAACCCUUCAAAGUUUUUGGCUAAGUAUGUAAGAUAUCUAGUGUGAUAGCAUUAAGUGCUGAGGUGGAAAAUUAAAGCAGGGAAUGGAAAUAGAGAGCAUCAAAGAUAGAGUGAUGAUUGCAUUUUAAAUAGACUUGAAGGAGAUAAUAGAGUAUGCCAUACAGAUAUUUAGGGAAAUAAUAUUCUAUGCAGAGAAAAGAGCAGGUGCAAAGGCCCUAAGGCAGAAGCAUGCUGGAAUAUACAAAGAACAGCAAGAAAGCUUUGCGCACUGGAGUGGCAGGAGAUGAGGUGAGACAGGCCUAUUGAUAAUGUCUCUUUCACUAAAAUAUAACAUGCAUGUGGAUAGAAAUGUUUGGCCUAUUUUAUCUACUGUUUUAUAACUAGAACUCAACUCUCAGCUAGCAUUCUACUCACACUGACCAUGUGUUCUGAGUUACAGUGGCAUUUUAUGUUACAGAAUCUUUUUUUGAGACCGGGUCUGGCCCUGUUGCCCAGGCUGAAGUGCAGUGGCGUGAUCUUGGCUCACUGCAACCUCUGCCUCCCAGGCUCAAGCCAUCCUCCCACCUCAGCCUCCCGAGUAGCUGGGACUACGCGCACACCACCAUGCCUGGCUAGUUUUUAUAUUAUUUGUAGAGACAGGGUUUCGCCAUGUUGGCUAGGCUGGUCUUAAACUUCUGAGCUCAAGUGAUCCACCUGCCUUGGCCUCUCAGAGUGCUGGGAUUAUGGGGUGUGAACCACCACACCCAGCCUAUGUUACAUAAUUUCGGUUUUUAGUGUCCAUAAUUACGGUCUGAAAUAGGUCAAGGGGACCCCAUGAUGGUCCUGGGAGAUGAGCAUUGAGACUACAAUGAUAGAAUGGAUCAGACCAUGCUUGAAGGACCUCAGAAGGUCUAGUCAAACUGUCAACUAACCCUCAUAGUUUGCAGAGCUGCUGGGAGACAAAAUCAUGUCCAGAACUCUGGAGCCACAGGAUUCCUUUGGGUCCCCAGAACUUCUUUGGAAAAGAUUAUAAUGGCUUUAACAUCAUUAACGUUUAUUGGGUUUUUACAAUGUAACAGGCAUGGUUCUAUGCACUUUACACAACUAAUUCAUUGAAUUCUCUCAACAACCUAAUGAGGUCAGAACUAUUAUCCUCAUUUUUGAUGUGAGAAAACUGAAGUACAGAGAGGUUAUGUGGCUUCCAAAGUCACAUAGUUUAAAAGUGGCAGAGACUGGAUUCAAAUGUAAACAAUAACCACUGCCGGGGUACCAUGGGAAGUUGUGGUCCAGACACUAAAUCAAGCUGCACCCAAGGUGUCCUAAUCCUACUCCUUCUUUCUCCACUGGAUGAGAGAAAAGGAGCAGGACCUAAGCCUCCUGAUUUUGUGGGAAUUUGCUUUUCUGUUCCAUGUUUCUCCCUCCGCUGCCCUUCUAUGCAUUGAAAUGAUGGGCAGGGGAACAUUUUCCGCCUCUGGAGGCAGGCGAGCAAAGACUCGAUGCACUUCCCCACCUCUUGCACUGGCUCAUACUUUAAUGGCUGGAAGUUUAAAAUCACAUCCCAAGCUUCUUGGAACUCAAAAUUCAGUUAUCUGACUCAGUAAAAUGUAGCUUUCUCACUUAAAAGGAUUUGCCCAAGGGGCCUCUGGGAUUUCAAAUAUACUUAAAAGCAACAACUGUGUUGAAUCAUAGAAUCAUAAGGGAUUGCAUUUCCGCUGGAGAACAGACAGGAUGUUUUAAACAGAGGGGGAAAUGUUUGAAGUUCGCCAAGCUUUGAGUUUCAUCCCACCCACCACAUCUGAAAACUAUCUGAGUCAUUUGAUGAAGGCAAAAUACAGCUGGGCUCCCUUAUUCUUAGUGUUAUUGUGGCCUACCAUCUUGACAUUGUGAUGCUAUCUGUGCAAGAACAUUUCACCUACAUCUACCAACCCUUUUCUAAACUGGAAUCAGGAAGAGUCUGUUCUCCAAAGUCUAUCUGGAGUGGAGUGGGCUGAGGGUGGUGUGGAGUAAAUAUUCUUAUAGACAGAAGGCAAAUACAGCUCUAGACAAAACAGUGAAGAGAAACAGGUUUGUCCAUGGCCCUGAGCUGCUGUCAAGGAGGUUACAGGGCCUUUAUCUCUUUCAUGGUGCUGCAGUAUUGUGUAGUGUGUUUAUGAACGUAGAUUUGGGAGUCAAAAAGAUACACGUUUAAUCUUGACCCUACCCACUUAUUUACUCACUGUGAAUCCUUGGGCAGAUUACUUAACCUUUCUAAUU